ensembl:lincRNA
CAAUCUCAUGUUGCCUGUCUUGUAGGCAAUACUAAUGGCAUCGUAUAAUCUUUUGGUUUGAUUUAUGUUACAGGAUCACACAUGCUGAUUCCAGGGAUACUUUUUUAACCACCAGGUCCUUUUAUUCCAGGCACUCAAGAUAGCAUGGCGCAGCCACAUUCACUGAGUGAACUUGAGCAAGGGCAAAGUCUCCAUUCUGGGGAAUAUUGUUUUGUCAAGGGUAUAGACAUUGCACCUUCUGAGCCCUUCACAUGUGCAUCGGGCUCGUUGAACUUUCAGUCAGAGGAUGCUCACGAACCUGCACAAGUGAAUGAGUGUGUGGAGGACAAAACCAAAUCACUUAGCAAGGUACAACCCAAGUUGGCUUUGUUUUUUUUAUUUUUUUUUUUUCAAUCAGCUCAAUAUAAACAUAAUGAAUAAUUCGCUUUUGUUUGUUCGUUUUGUGCUGCAGAAAGAAAAGAAACGAUUGAAGAAAGAAAGACAAUUGCUUGAAAUGAAGAAACAGAAAGAGUCUCCAAGGGAUGCAGAUUCGUGCAGCAGUUACAGUACACCUUUGCCAGUUGUGGCAAGUGGAAUUGAAGGUGCUGGUGAUGGAAAAGAAGACUCUUUGGUUUUAAAAAAGGAAGGAGAAAGCUUAGAGUCUCAGUUCAGUGUUUUGGGAGAUGCGGAGACUCAACCUGUUGAACCCCCCACAGUUUCCCAGAGGUCAAUGGACUUCACAUCCAAAGUUCCGGAAGAGGUGCUGGAGGACAAAGUUGAUGAAAUGACGGAACUCAGCAAGAAAAAACAGAAACAGGAGACCUGGAAAAAAAACAACAAGGAAAGAAUACGCAAAAGAAAACAAAAGGCUGAGAAUGGAGGGCAUUCAUCUGAUUGUCUCAUGACUUCACCUGCACUCAACAAGUGUGGGACAGACACAGGGAAGGGAGGAGAUAAAUUCAAGAAAGGACAAAAUAACAAUACCUCUGGAGGAUUUCCCACUGAAGGAAAACCAAAUGAUGCAGUGUUUAAACAGUGCGAAGGGCAAAGCUCACUUGGAGAAACGAAGACUGAGGUUUCUUCGAAUUGUCAAACCAAGGCUGGAGGACCUUCUGAGAAUAUCCCUGAGAGUAAACAAAGACAAACAAAACCUAACAAAUCGAAACCUGCAGACCCUGCAAGGUGUGUUUGCUAUUUUCUCUUCCAAAAAGUAUCACUGUGUGCUGGAAGCGGAUCGUUCCCAAUUUAUUUUGUGAGAUCGUUUCAACAUGCAAUGUACUUUGUGCACUUUUCUCAUAGCAUUGCAGCUGGGCUGAACAAGGGCAAGGCAGAGGAGAAGAGUGAUGACCACAAAACUUUAUCUUCAUCAGACAAGUCUACCAAAGGUGGAACUUGUUCCCAUGGGGCAUUAUACAGAUUAAAACGUUUGUUUAAGAUACUAACAAAAUGCAAGCUGUGCAAUGUGAUUAAAACUUUGAUAAAGAGGGUUUUAUAUCACAACUUUUGACUUUUUCUUUAGUGUACAAAGUCAAGACUCGUGGCAGAGCUAAAACACAGAAUGGACCAGGACGCAACAGAAUAAUACAAACAGCAGAAAAAUAAUGGGUGGUAGUGGAGAGGGGGUUGUAUACACCAACAGCAGGGAUGAGGGAUGAAAAAAGAGG